GAUGAACGCUGGCGGCGUGCCUAGUACAUGCAAGUCGAGCGAACGGACGCGAAGCUUGCUUCUCUGAUGUUAGCGGCGGACGGGAGUGUCACACGUGGAUAACCUACCUAUCAGACUGGGAUCACUUCGGGAAACCGGAGCUAAUACCGGAUAAUAUUUUGAACCGCAUGGUUCAAAAGUGAAAGACGGUCUUGCUGUCACUUAUAGAUGGAUCCGCGCUGCAUUAGCUAGUUGGUAAGGUAACGGCUUACCAAGGCAACGAUGCAUAGCCGACCUGAGAGAGGGAUCGGCCACACUGGAACUGAGACACGGUCCAGGCUCCUACGGGAGGCAGCAGUAGGGAAUCGGCCGCAAUGGGCGAGAGCCUGACGGAGCAGCGCCGCGUGAGUGAUGGAGGUCUUCGGAUCGUAAAACUCUGUUAUGAGGGAAGAACAUAUGUGUAAGUAACUGUGCACAUCUUGACGGUACCUAGUCAGAAAGCCACGGCUAACUACGUG
rnacentral:rRNA from 1 species